rnacentral:lncRNA from 1 species
GCGGUGGGAACAGCUAGCUACGGCUCAGGCGGGUCGUCCUACAGCCCAGGGUCCCACGGGGGCUCUGGCGGAGGUUCUGGGGGGCUCCUCAUACCGAGGCAAACAAGGAGGCUACUCUUCACAGUCGAACUACAACUCCCCGGGCUCUGGCCAGAGCUACAGCGGCCCUCCCGGCUCCCACCGGUCCUCACAGGGUGGAUAUAGCAGGAGCGCAGACCACAGCAUGAACUACCAGUGCAGAUAAAGCCCUGCGUGGGCUGCAGCUUCCUCCUCCUCCUGCACUUCCGCCCUCCCGCCAGAAGAUUCAGUUCCCCACAUCACAGUUACCACAUCAGCCAGCAGGCCCUCCAGGCGCCCCACCCGUCCACGUUGCUGUGUUGUGAGGUGCAGCGGCCUCUGGCCGUGCUGUGACCCCGUUUAGCCGUGUUUGAGACUCCGUGUCUUCAAUGGUUUGUUAGUUGCCAUUACAGCCUCUCGUCUGGGUAGAGUUUGAGUUCUUUACCGUUCAGCAUCCCUCUGUCUAUUUACACUUGGUGUUAACGUUGACUCAUUUGUCUUGAAAUAGUCAUGGAAGGGAUACGUCAUCUGUUAAUGCUUUUGUGAAACAGAAGUCGGAGCAAACAAUGGAAUGAAGAAAAGGACAAAUGGCACUUCCAUGGAAGCUAAAUGUAGAGAACCCUAGGGAAGAGAAACUACUUCCACAGAACACAGGUGGACUCGUGGGCAUCUUGCUGGGAUUUCCAUUUUGCUGCUUGUGUCCUAAGGAGGCUCCAAGGACCCUAAGGAAGGCAUCAUUGCCCAGCUCGGGUUUACUGGGCUGCGUGGUGGCUUUGCUUGCUUCCUGGUGAGGACUCCUUCCAGUCGCCUUCCCUCUGUUGUCAGAAGAGCGCUCUCACCACAUCGCCAUCCUGAGAACGAGGCUCUCUCCCUGCGGUCAGCAGGUUGAGGGCGGAAUUUCUUAGGAAGGCAUCCGAGCUCUCCCACCCAGCCCUCACUCCCUGCACCUCUGAGCCCCUCCCAGGUCCUUUGGGAGUCUUCUGCUUCAUGUGCUGGGGAGAAGCAGCAUGGUGGUUCUGACCGACCCUCGCCCCUGGGACCAGCAGGCU